GACGAACGCUGGCGGCGUGCUUAACACAUGCAAGUCGAACGGAAAGGCCCUGCUUUUGUGGGGUGCUCGAGUGGCGAACGGGUGAGUAACACGUGAGUAACCUGCCCUUGACUUUGGGAUAACUUCAGGAAACUGGGGCUAAUACCGGAUAGGAGCUCCUGCUGCAUGGUGGGGGUUGGAAAGUUUCGGCGGUUGGGGAUGGACUCGCGGCUUAUCAGCUUGUUGGUGGGGUAGUGGCUUACCAAGGCUUUGACGGGUAGCCGGCCUGGGAGGGGGACCGGCCACAUUGGGACUGAGAUACGGCCCAGACUGCAACGGGAGGCAGCAGUGGGGAAUAUUGCACAAUGGGCGGAAGCCUGAGGCAGCAACGCCGCGUGCGGGAUGACGGCCUUCUGGUUGUAAACCGCUUUCGCCUGUGACGAAGCGUGAGUGACGGUAAUGGGUAAAGAAGCACCGGCUAACUACGUG
rnacentral:rRNA from 1 species